UCAGGUCAAGGACUUUGCCAUGCUCUGCCACUGAGGAGGUGCACAAGAGGCAAGCAGAGCCAGGACAGCUGACCUGAACUGGCCAAAGGGAUAUCCCACACCAUGCUCAGUGUAUCAGCUGGGAAGAGCUGGGCAGGAAGGGUCACUCGCUGCUGGGGGACAGGACAGGCAUCGGUCAGCAGCUGAUAUUGUGCAUCAGUGCUUGUUCUCAGGUUGAUGUCGACUUUGACAACACCUCUGAAAACAGAGAGAAACAGCCUUGAACACAACCACACAAAGAGAGACAUUCAAGCCUCUUCUCUGCAGCUCAACAUCCUUCUCCAGCAGGCAUCCAAGCCCUCUCUCCACACUUCUGCCAGCUGGCCCUGCAAUAAAACCUGAUACAUCAGAAAGCUGCACAAGCCAGCAAUAGACCACUGAUGUCUAUGAAAGCCAAAAAAAAAGUUUCCUACACACGUCCUGAAGGAUCAUCUGAAUUGUGUAAGUCCAAGAAGUCUCCAGGUUUCAUCAGCAGCAGUUUACCUCAAAAAUUCUUUUGAAAUAAAAGCUAACAAGCCAAUUUCAAAGCUGACACUCUAUUUUAUAAAAAGCUUGCAAAUCAUCAAAAGAAAAAAGGUACAAGACUACAGUUCUAUAUAUUAGGAAAAAAAAGGCCUUCAAAGAUUCACAUAUUCUUCAGAAUGACCUAGGACAUUUAUAGCAUCAUUUUGUCAGAGCAUGUCAUCUAUGACUGCUUUGCUGCAGUCCAGACUUGACAAAAAUGUCAAUAUGCAAUUUCUAGUUGCUACAUCAUUACACAAACUCAUUCAUAGUGGAUGAAUGCUCUGUGCUAAUUUCUUAAACCUAGAACACCAUUCCUUUCAAGUCAAUCAUUUCAGCAGCUUGGGACAGGUGUUUUCAUUUCCACACCCUGGAUUUCCACAACUACAAACACCAUUUCUCUUCUUUCAGGCUGUGAACUAACAAGGGCAUGGCCCAGCCUCCAUCCCAGAAGCACCUCAUUCACCCCAAAGUGUGUUCCCUCUUUAAAUUAACACAG